ACAGUACAGAACCUCUGAAAGGAGCAAGAAAUAUUUCCAACAUGAAAGGCGCCUUUUUUACUUGCAUCAUAUGUAUCAUCUUGCCUUUCUUGAUAUGGCAUCAUCCAGAAGGAGGCUGGAGCAGAACAACCAGUUUGCAGCUGUUGAAAAAGCAUACAGCGUCCACGAUCUGGUGAAUUAUUUAUUUCCAAGAGAACACAAAUCGGCAGGUGCCACUGAGAAAGAGAUGGAGGAAAGCACAUUUUCUGUUUUGGCCAGAAAGAAGCAGCAGGGACAGGACCACGAGAGAUCUUCCAAAGCAUACAAAGUUUUUGAUGAAUUGAGGAAUGAAGAUAAUGGAGUCACAGAAACUCCAGAGCAUUGGAAAUCCAGUGCCAGUACUUUAGCCCCGCUAGAAAUGAACCCUGUGCCUCUGACUCUUCAAGAGGUGGCUUUGAAGCAUCCAGUGCUGAAAGUUAAAUCAAGACUUACUCGUUGGACUAAUCCUUCAGAUAAAGAAGAAAUCUAAACUGGAAAGCAUAAUUAAAAUGUAGAAGCUAGAAAUUGCCUUCUUAUAAUUUCUCAAAAAGCUACACCAGGUACAAACUAGAUAUAAAUACUUGGAAGUCUUAGUAUUAAUGAUCAUCCUGGCUGUGCAUGAAGAUAAGGAUUUCUGCUGCCCUUUUAUCUUCUUCUUCUGCAACAAUUCUGCAAAGUAAUUUUUCAGAAUGAUUGGUAUUGCUGCAACUGAAAGCUUAUGCUGGUAUCAUGAAACAUGAAUUUUUCAGUUUGAGGUAAUGUACUUACAGUACCAAAAAUCAUAAAACCAGAAAUUUUUUUGAUGUUGUGCUACAACCAAGUUGGAUACAAAUGUUUUCCUGUGUAAGAUGUUCCAUGUACCAGUACAUACAAGCAACAAAACUGGAUAUGAAUCAAUAAAUUAAGCUCCUCAGGAAACA
rnacentral:lncRNA from 1 species